AACGAACGCUGGCGGCAUGCCUAACACAUGCAAGUCGAACGAUCCCUUCGGGGAUAGUGGCGCACGGGUGCGUAACGCCUGGGAAUCUGCCCUUUGCUUCGGAAUAACAGUUAGAAAUGACUGCUAAUACCGGAUGAUGUCUUCGGACCAAAGAUUUAUCGGCAAGGGAUUAGCCCGCGUAGGAUUAGGUAGUUGGUGGGGUAAAGGCCUACCAAGCCGACGAUCCUUAGCUGGUCCGAGAGGAUGAUCAGCCACACUGGGACUGAGACACGGCCCAGACUCCUACGGGAGGCAGCAGUGGGGAAUAUUGGACAAUGGGCGCAAGCCUGAUCCAGCAAUGCCGCGUGAGUGAUGAAGGCCUUCGGGUCGUAAAGCUCUUUUACCAGGGAUGAUAAUGACAGUACCUGGAGAAUUAGCUCCGGCUAACUCCGUGCCAGCCGCCGCAGUAAGAC
rnacentral:rRNA from 1 species